UAGGGAAUCUUCCACAAUGGACGCAAGUCUGAUGGAGCAACGCCGCGUGAGUGAAGAAGGUUUUCGGAUCGUAAAGCUCUGUUGUUGGUGGAGAAGGAUAGAGGCAGUAACUGGUCUUUAUUUGACGGUAAUCAACCAGAAAGUCACGGCUAACUACGUGCCAGCAGCCGCGGUAAUACGUAGGUGGCAAGCGUUGUCCGGAUUUAUUGGGCGUAAAGCGAGCGCAGGCGGAAUGAUAAGUCUGAUGUGAAAGCCCACGGCUCAACCGUGGAACUGCAUCGGAAACUGUCAUUCUUGAGUGCAGAAGAGGAGAGUGGAAUUCCAUGUGUAGCGGUGGAAUGCGUAGAUAUAUGGAAGAACACCAGUGGCGAAGGCGGCUCUCUGGUCUGCAACUGACGCUGAGGCUCGAAAGCAUGGGUAGCGAACAGG
rnacentral:rRNA from 1 species